GAUGAACGCUGGCGGCAUGCCUAAUACAUGCAAGUCGAGCGAACAGAUAAGGAGCUUGCUCCUUUGACGUUAGCGGCGGACGGGUGAGUAACACGUGGAUAACCUACCUAUAAGACUGGGAUAACUUCGGGAAACCGGAGCUAAUACCGGAUAACAUAUUGAACCGCAUGGUUCAAUAGUGAAAGGCGGCUUUGCUGUCACUUAUAGAUGGAUCCGCGCCGUAUUAGCUAGUUGGUAAGGUAACGGCUUACCAAGGCAACGAUACGUAGCCGACCUGAGAGGGUGAUCGGCCACACUGGAACUGAGACACGGUCCAGACUCCUACGGGAGGCAGCAGUAGGGAAUCUUCCGCAAUGGGCGAAAGCCUGACGGAGCAACGCCGCGUGAGUGAUGAAGGUCUUCGGAUCGUAAAACUCUGUUAUCAGGGAAGAACAAAUGUGUAAGUAACUGUGCACAUCUUGACGGUACCUGAUCAGAAAGCCACGGCUAACUACGUGCCAGCAGCCGCGGUAAUACGUAGGUGGCAAGCGUUAUCCGGAAUUAUUGGGCGUAAAGCGCGCGUAGGCGGUUUUUUAAGUCUGAUGUGAAAGCCCACGGGCUCAACCGUGGAGGGUCAUUGGAAACUGGAAAACUUGAGUGCAGAAGAGGAAAGUGGAAUUCCAUGUGUAGCGGUGAAAUGCGCAGAGAUAUGGAGGAACACCAGUGGCGAAGGCGACUUUCUGGUCUGUAACUGACGCUGAUGUGCGAAAGCGUGGGGAUCAAACAGGAUUAGAUACCCUGGUAGUCCACGCCGUAAACGAUGAGUGCUAAGUGUUAGGGGGUUUCCGCCCCUUAGUGCUGCAGCUAACGCAUUAAGCACUCCGCCUGGGGAGUACGACCGCAAGGUUGAAACUCAAAGGAAUUGACGGGGACCCGCACAAGCGGUGGAGCAUGUGGUUUAAUUCGAAGCAACGCGAAGAACCUUACCAAAUCUUGACAUCCUUUGACCGCUCUAGAGAUAGAGUCUUCCCCUUCGGGGGACAAAGUGACAGGUGGUGCAUGGUUGUCGUCAGCUCGUGUCGUGAGAUGUUGGGUUAAGUCCCGCAACGAGCGCAACCCUUAAGCUUAGUUGCCAUCAUUAAGUUGGGCACUCUAAGUUGACUGCCGGUGACAAACCGGAGGAAGGUGGGGAUGACGUCAAAUCAUCAUACCCCUUAUAAUUUGGGCUACACACGUGCUACAAUGGACAAUACAAAGGGCAGCUAAACCGCGAGGUCAAGCAAAUCCCAUAAAGUUGUUCUCAGUUCGGAUUGUAGUCUGCAACUCGACUACAUGAAGCUGGAAUCGCUAGUAAUCGUAGAUCAGCAUGCUACGGUGAAUACGUUCCCGGGUCU
rnacentral:rRNA from 1 species